rnacentral:rRNA from 1 species
UACAGAAGUCUCAAGCGUUGCUCGGAAUCACUGGGCGUAAAGGGUGCGUAGGCGGGUCUUUAAGUCAGGGGUGAAAUCCUGGAGCUCAACUCCAGAACUGCCUUUGAUACAGCACGUCUUGAGUCCGGAAGAGGUGGGUGGAAUUCCUAGUGUAGAGGUGAAAUUCGUAGAUAUUAGGAAGAACACCGGUGGCGAAGGCGGCCCACUGGUCCGGUACUGGACGCUGAGGUGCGAAAGCGUGGGGAGCAAACAGG